UUUUUAGGAAAAGGAGUGCUUGGAAGACAAGGUGUGAUAGAGAUCUAGAGAAAGUAAUACGGGAAAUAUAUUUGCUGUUUCUCAUAAUGGAAGAACUGCCACUUGAUGAAACGACCAACAGCAGACUUAAAACCAGCCAGGAUGUGCUUUACAGGGGAUCAUCCUCAGGUGCAAACACCCUGACUGCAGAUGACCAAACACAGUCGGACCCAGCAGAGCACGCGAGCCUUGCCUCUGAAGAGACCAACCCAGGAGAGCAGCUGCCAGGAGAGGAGGCUUCAGCCACCAUCCUGGACGUGGAGGGGAACACAGAGUCUGUCAAUAAAAGGGAGGAGCCAGAGGGCACCGAGCCCCUGCCUGCAGGAGAGGAGGAGAGCUCUGAGCUGCCCUCUGUGUGGCGAGAGGAGAGCAGGGGGCCUUCACCGCCAGCACCAGGAGAAGAUACUGGGGCACCAUCUCCAGGAGCAGCAGAGGACAGUGGGCUGGCAGAGGGCAGUGACAGCUCUGUAGUGGAAGUCAUCGAGAAAGUACAUAUUACUGAAGAGGACCACCUCACUGAGGGUGAGACGGGAGAACAGGUGGAAACUGAGCUGCUCAGUGAGACAGUAAGUGAAGGGCCUGAAACAAAAGAAGAAGAAACAGGAGAAGCUGUGGAUAGUGCAGCAGCGACAGAGAUAGAGACAGCUAAUAACAAGGAAUAGAAGUUAUGUCUUAAUGAACAUCCUCUUCUUGCACCUGCUCUUCUGUUCACAUGAAUUUUUUAAAAUUUUAUUGGGCUGGGAAAAGAGAAAGGAUUUUAUGGAUUAAACCACAAGCUGCAGACGCAUGAACAGGAGGCAUCGGAAAUGGUUUUACAUAAUACAGAUUUUUUUGAGUCAAGCUGCCAAGACUUCAAGUGUUUGAAAUACCCAAACUUUUGUCUCCCUACCAGAGUGCCUUCUAUACACACCAGGAUAAUUUUUCAACAGCAGUAUGAUCAUUCCUUUUUCAAUUAGGAGUUUUUCCCAGGUUCUGAUAACUGACUUCAAAUCGUUGAAACCUUCAACCAACAUUACAUAGGAUAAAGAAUAGAGUGUAGCUUUUCUGUCUUUAAAUGAUUGUAUGUAGGCAGUUCCUCCAAGUGCCUGGAUUACCAAUGUAGGCAGAUGCUGAAGUGUACAGCAUGUAGAGGACUGGCAGAGGAAAGUGGUCAUUUACCAAGCUCUAACUCAAUGCAGAGGUGAGUUUCCAGAAAACAGAAGAUAACAGAGUGCAGUGUCCAGGACCCAGCUGUGCGGGUCCCCAUUUUUAAAUUCAAAUUUAUUGAAGGGAUUGUAAUACAAUAUAUGUGAUGACUUCUGCAGGAGCAGGGAGAAGAUGGCAUUUUUAACUGAGUAGGAUGUUUUAGUUGUAUAAAUCCUAGAAGAUAAUUUCACAGCUGUUAACAUUCAUGGUCAAUAAUAACCUGUCUUCAGCUGGCAGCUCUCCUCAUAUCCAUUUGUGGCUUCUAAAAUGGAUUUCUAAGAGAGAAAAUACAAACCUGUCUAAGAGACAAAUAUAAGCCUGUUCCCAAAGAAAAGGUUACCUAUUACAUAUUUAACUGUAGUGCUGCCCUCUUGGAAAAGUAUGCUAUCAGAGACUGUCUGGGUUAUUUUCCAAAAUGCUAAAUAAUUAUUUUGGAGAUGAAGCUGAAUGGCAAUAUUUUCAAACAAAUUUCCUGUGAAAACAGGCCCUGGAUAUGAUUUGUGCUUUGGGUCAGAUAAAGAGCAGAAAUUUGUUCUGAUGGUGAAUGCUGCAAGAUCACAGAAUCAAUUAGGUUGGAAAACACCUCUAAGUUACUUGAGUCCAAAUGUUGACUGAAGACCACCUUGCCAACUAGACCAUGGCAGUAAGUGCCACAGCCAGUCAUUUCUCAUCCAGGGGUGGUCACUCCACCACCUCCCUGGGCAGUCCAUUCCAAUGUUUAACAAGCCUUUCUGUGAAGAAAUUCCUCCUGAUGUUCAACCUGAGCCUCCACUGGCACAGCCUGAGGCUUUGUCCUGUGCAAAGGGACUCUAUGUAAUAUACUUCUGGGGGCUAUGUUUACAAGAUUGUCUGGCAUAAGGAUGUGGGACAUGGAGAAAAGGUCAGCUACCUAAAAAUGGCAAACACAAUAUUGCUCUUUUAUUAGCUUUAUUAUACUAAAGGACUUAACAAAAAUCCCGUCACCAGCAAAUUAUACAAAUCCCCUCUAAGAGAUCAUUUCACACUGCAUGUACCUGUCUGAUUCCAGUUGACUCUGGUUUAUAUUAAAUAAUCUAAUUGAUAUCCUUGGCCUAUUAACCUUUUGUGUAAGCUGAUAGUUCUUAGCUGUAUCACUAAGGUUUUCUGCUUAGCAGCAUUCUUAUGAACUUGUCAGCUUCAUUUAUUGUCAGCUCCUGUAGGCAACACCACAAACUUUAGAACCUGAAUGCAUACUUUUUUUUUUUAAAUUUUUGCUAGGUGGAUAUCACUUUUAUUUUUUUAGCUCUUCUAGCCUUCUGUAACAGAGAAGCUAAAAUGAGCUAUUAAAAAAUCUAUUGACAUUAAAGUGAGCAUCAAAAAUUCAAACAGAAAUAGUCAAAGUUUUUAUCCACAUACUGUCAGCAUUUCAUGAAAAUUAGCCAUGAAAAACAACACCAUCCACUUUUGAGAGCUGAGGAGUGGGGGAACAGGUACUGGGCAGAAUGAGAAGACCCCAAAGUGACAUAGGACUGGGCUGGCUGUCCAGCCACGUCCCAGGAUGCCCCAAGCACUUCCCUCCUCAGCUGCAUCUCAUGGCUGAUUUCCUCCUGUGAGCUGGGAGUUCAGUUCAGCCACCAGCACAUGUGCCAGCACAGCCCCACUCCAAAACACAGGAGAUUAAAUUGGCAGAGACAGGCUGACUACAAGAUCAUGAAUUGCAGUCUGGCAAGCAUUAAACUAUUUUUAAGUGACAGAGAUCAGUAGUAUUCAUAGCAACAGAGGACACUGCACUUGGAAAUAAGAUGUGAAGAAACAAGGGAGUCAAAAUAACCUGCUCACCUCAGAGUCUCUCUUACUACCACUGUUAUAACAAGGAAGACAGGUGACUAUGUACGUUCUUCCUCACUGUUCAGCUUCUUCAGGCCACUAAGCAAUGCAGAUGAAAACAAGAGGAGUAUAAACCAGUCAGUGACUCAACAGUAGCAGUCUUUCUCAAUCAUCUUCCUCCUUAUUCUACAAUCACAACAGGUGAAUUCUCCUUUUCCUUUCCUAAAGAGGAAAUAUGCUUGAUGCUGUGUUAAACAUGAAGUUAAAUCACCUACAUUGUCAAAAUGUGCCUGCAAGAAAUAUGCUGAAUACUCCUGCUCUGAGAAAUCAGAUGUCCCUGUGACACAAAUUUAAUUGAGAUCUAGUAUUCAUGGUCUGAGAGCUACCAAAGCAAAUACUAUGGAGAAAGGGCCAGUGCCUGCAGUUGUUUGCCUCUGCAAACCUGGGACUACACAGAGGUUGCAAGGGGCAGAAAUUGGUCUGUCAAAGAGAUUUCUCACAUUAAAGGUUGGGAAAAGGAUAUGCUCCAAUAUUUGUGUUUACAGGAUAAACCUCCAGAUCUUAAGCAACUUUUUUUUUUUAAUACAGCCAAGCAUUUUUGAUGAUUGUUUUGUAUUUUAUCAAAAGUUAACAAUCUUCAGCCCUAAACUUCACCCAAGGUAGAAGUAACCACUCCUCACUGCAGGGAGUGCUGGGCAGUACACUUGAAAGAACAAACUUAAUUUCCAAGCUAACAAGAAAGUUCUGGUAGAAUUUUUUUUUUCUAAUUACCAAUAAACACAGCCCUAGAAGAGAUUAAAUUUGCACCCCGUCAGCUCUGUACAGACACAUUAGCACGCUGUAGGAUCUCAGAAGAUCCCUGCCCAUCUGGCUGGGGUUGGCUCUUUUACUCAAUGAGGAACUGUUUUUAGGUAAACACUGCAGCAAGAGCAAGGGCUGUUAGAAGAAGAUUGGGGCAGUUUAUGUGGUUUAAGACUACACAGUUUUAUUAAAACUAGGUAUUGAAAUUUAUUUUUCGCACUGUCUAAUCUGUAAAGAAUAUAAGCAUUUAAAGAAGAAUCUUACUAAAAGAAACACCUGGUAGAACAUACACAUUUCAGUAAUUUAUACAUUGCUUUAUGAUAGAAAGAAAAGACCUGUUUUGCUGUGGUUUUUUAGUUACAUGUGAUAUAAAAAAAUUUUAAAUGCCGAAAUCAGGAUGCCACAAGCUGAACUGCAACUUUGUAUUUUGUAUGCAACUCAGUCUAGCAAAGGGGGGAAAAAAAGCCGUUUUUAACAUAUCUCUAUUUAAAACUGGAUUUAUUAAAUGUCUAUGUACUAAGUAGUUUGCAAAUUAGGACCUAAGAGAUUGGCUUCUCAUAUUGGAGAAUCAUGAGUGUUGGCCUUUUUGUUUUAAAUAAUAAAAUCAAAUAAUAUAACUC
rnacentral:lncRNA from 12 species